GGGUCAAUGAUGAAAUAUUUGCCUUGUAUCUAGAGAGCUGUUGUCUUAAAAGUCAUGCUCAGUAAAUUCAUGCUGAGGACUC
rnacentral:snoRNA from 1 species